UACAGAGGGGCAAGCGUUAUUCGGAAUUAUUGGACGUAAAGGGCGCGUAGGCGGUCGUGACAAGUCACUUGUGAAAUCUCCGGGCUUAACUCGGAACGGUCAAGUGAUACUGUCGGACUAGAGUACAGAAGGGGCAACUGGAAUUCUCGGUGUAGCGGUGAAAUGCGUAGAUAUCGAGAGGAACACCUGCGGCGAAGGCGGGUUGCUGGGCUGAUACUGACGCUGGAGGCGCGAAAGCUAGGGGAGCGAACGGG
rnacentral:rRNA from 1 species